UAAGAAAUUAAAAUGCCAGAUAAACAUUAGUUUGGCAUAGGACCCAUCAUUGUUUGUAUCUACUCGUUAAUGAUUAACAUGCUUGGAUGCUAAAACAUUAUGCUCCCAGUAUAUAUUUAUAUUUUUUUUUCAAAACGUUAUACCGCUUCUCUUUAAUGCUAGUUUCAUGUUGUUUCUUCUAUAUGAAUUUAUGAAUUUGGGAUAUUAUUCAUGUUUGCCAAAAUAUUUUCUGAACUUCCUUAAUUUUUUAAAAUCACAUAUGAUAUCAACUCAAUCAUCAUCAUGUGUAAUUAAUGGGGUUGUAAUGGAAUUACCAACUUGUUGGUGUGAUUUGAAAGCACCACUAAAGACGUCACACACUAACAAAAAUUCCGCAAGGAAAUUUUUUUCCUACACGAAUUAUAACACAGUAAAGCAACUGCUAUAUAUUUUUUUAAUUGCUUUUCAAUUUUUGUAUAACGUGGUAAAGCUACUUCCUCAUGUGAAAUGCUUGUACUGUGUGCAGGAAGAUGCAAGAUUUGAAUUUUUCCAUUGGGCGGAUAUACUUAAUUUGAUAGAGGAGAACAUUCAGAGAAGAGAGAAUACAGUUCAGAAGAGGCAGGAUGACGGUCGAGAAUAUAAAUGCACGAAUAUUAUUGUGUUUGUACUGGGUUAUAUAAAUUGUAAUAGUUUCUGCAUAAUUCAGAUAAACUAUAGGACACAUGUAAAUAGGUGGAUAUUUUCUUUAUUUUUUUUUUGUAUGGAUCAAGUGUAAUGGUACUAUCCCUUGAAUUAGGCAAAGCAAAGCCUAAUUAGGUACUUGAUCAGGCAUUUUGUUGUAUAGGGGAGAGAAAAAUCUGCUAUUUUUUUUACUCUUUUAUGAAUCUACUGGGCUAUAUACAUUUUGACUCCA